rnacentral:misc_RNA from 1 species
UGGGUCAUGAGGUGGGCAGGGGGU